ACGCAGGAGGACCAGUGGACACCUGCCUACUUCAGGAGGAAGCAAGAGGCCUCAGAAAAGGCAGUGUGCUGGAAUCAUGUGUUUCCCAAACUUCUCCAAAUCUCAAGACAAUUUUCUGUGCUUUGCCCUUCAACGUAUGAUUUAUAUCCAGGGUGCUCUCCCACAGAAGACAGUGACAUGACAGGAAUGGUGACACAAGGCUCUUACUGUUACAUUCAAUAAUUGAUUCUCCUGGAUGGAUUGUGACUCCCUAAAGGUUGCAAAGAGAGAAAGAUUUGAGUUAUCCUGCUACUUACCAAGAGGAGAAAAACAGCAUAAGAGCGUUGGUUAAUGGGCAUGCUUUGGAUUCACACUGGAUCCUGGAAGCAAAAUUGUCCCCUGUGGAUGUAGAGGUAUCAUGCUAAAUCCCCUCAGGAGAAUGUUUUACACUGGCUGCCUGUGCUGAUUGCUGCUGCUGCUCUCUUUUGCCACAAGCGAGGGCCAAAAACAUCUUUUUGUGUGGUAGAGCCAGGAGCAACCUUCAAUGUCUCUCUUGGACAAGUGCUUUCACCACUUCAUGCUUCAAUCCCAGAGUCAAGUGAGUGCAUGGAAUUGUGUCUCCACAAUACCCCAAAAAAGUCUUUUCCUCCUUCUCCAGCAUCUGUAGAUACAGUUGAGAUAGUGUUCCCUUGC
rnacentral:lncRNA from 1 species